AGCCAGUGAUGACUCAACUAAUUAAUUAACUUUUCUGACACCUCGUAUGAAGGCUGGUAACAGCCGCUGAUUCUAACUCGACUCUGAGGCUC